rnacentral:rRNA from 1 species
UACGUAGGGGCCUAGCGUUGUCCGGAUUUAUUGGGCGUAAAGAGCUCGUAGGCGGUUCGGCAAGUCGGAUGUGAAAUCUCCACGCUUAACGUGGAGGGGCCAUUCGAAACUGCCGUGACUCGAGUCCGGUAGGGGAGUGUGGAAUUCCUGGUGUAGCGGUGAAAUGCGCAGAUAUCAGGAGGAACACCAGUAGCGAAGGCGGCACUCUGGGCCGGUACUGACGUGAGGGGCGAAAGCGUGGGGAGCGAACAGG